rnacentral:lncRNA from 1 species
GAAAAGUGUAGGGUAGGAAGUGACGACCUGCAGCCCUUUCUGAGCUACUGGUGCUUAAAGAUAGGUUAUUAGUCACAAGUCUCCAGAGAGCCAAAGAAUCACACACACACACACACACACACACACACACCCCACAUACAUACACCACAUAGUCUUACACAACAUACAUAUCACAUAUUCACACACACAUACAUCAUACACACACCCCACACCACACACUCAGACACACACAUAUAUAUACUACACAUACCAUAUACAUACACACUCACAUAUAUCUCAAAUAUACAUAUAUUCCACACACAUACACCAUAUACACAUACAUAUAUACCACACAUACCAUACACACUCCCACAUACCACACAUACACUCUCUCACAUACACAACACAUAGUCAUACUCACAUACACCACACA